rnacentral:rRNA from 1 species
AUUGAACGCUAGCGGCAGGCCUAACACAUGCAAGUCGAGGGGUAGAGGAAGCUUGCUUCCUUGAGACCGGCGCACGGGUGCGUAACGCGUAUGCAAUCUACCUUAUACAGAGGGAUAGCCCAGAGAAAUUUGGAUUAAUACCUCAUAGUAUUAUGAAAUCGCAUGGUUUUAUAAUUAAAGUUCCACCGGUAUAAGAUGAGCAUGCGUCCCAUUAGUUGGUUGGUAAGGUAACGGCUUACCAAGACAAUGAUGGGUAGGGGUCCUGAGAGGGAGAGCCCCCACAAUGGUACUGAGAACCGGACCAGACUCCUACGGGAGGCAGCAGUGAGGAAUAUAGGUCAAUGGACGCAAGUCUGAACCAGCCAUGCCGCGUGCAGGAUGACGGUCCUAUGGAUUGUAAACUGCUUUUAUACAGGAAGAAACACUCCCUCGUGAGGGAACUUGACGGUACUGUAGGAAUAAGGAUCGGCUAACUCCGUGCCAGCCGCCGCAGUAACAC